UACGUAGGGCGCAAGCGUUGUCCGGAAUUAUUGGGCGUAAAGAGCUCGUAGGCGGUUUGUCGCGUCUGCUGUGAAAGCCCGGGGCUUAACCCCGGGUCUGCAGUGGGUACGGGCAGACUGGAGUGCAGUAGGGGAGACUGGAAUUCCUGGUGUAGCGGUGAAAUGCGCAGAUAUCAGGAGGAACACCGAUGGCGAAGGCAGGUCUCUGGGCCGAUACUGACGCUGAGAAGCGAAAGCAUGGGGAGCGAACAGG
rnacentral:rRNA from 1 species